AAGUAUCUCUUUUAUAGAUGAAGAGACUAAAGCUGUGAGAGGAAGAGUGACUUGUCCAGAGUCAUCCAUUUAGCAAGUGACAGAGAUGACUUCAAACAUGGGCUUUGGGAGCCAAAACUUGUGCUUUUCCUGCUAUAUGACAGCUGCCUCCAAGAAACCACAGAAGCUUUGGAGAUUUGGAAAGAGACUAUCACAGACAUUUGAUCACUAUACACGAGUCAUGUCUGAGGCAGACUGGGACUCACACUGGAGAAAGAAAUGGCCAAGAUACUUCGGUAUCUUUGCCAAGAAAAUCCCCAAUGGGAUCAUGAAGAAUCAGAGAGGAUGGAGAUGCCUGAACAACAGCACAGACUAGAAACAAGGUGAGUGUCUGUCUGUGGGAGAAUGCCCACAAUAAGUGGUCAACAUCACCAGAAGCACCACUCGAGUCACAAAGGGCUCUGCAUUGUCCACCCUUUUGCUAUUCCCUUCAGUGAGCUCGUUCUUUUUCAUUUCUGCG
rnacentral:lncRNA from 1 species